rnacentral:rRNA from 1 species
UGCGCAGGCGGGUUUGUAAGUCAGUGGUGAAAUACUGCCGCUUAACGGUAGAAUUGCCAUUGAUACUGCGAAUCUUGAGUAUGGUUGAGGUAGGCGGAAUGUGUAGUGUAGCGGUGAAAUGCAUAGAUAUUACACAGAACUCCGAUUGCGAAGGCAGCUUACUAAGCCAUAACUGACGCUGAGGCACGAAAGCGUGGGGAGCGAACAGGAUUAGAUACCCUGGUAGUCC